rnacentral:rRNA from 1 species
GAUUAAGUUAUUAAGGGCGCACGGUGGAUGCCUUGGCACUAGAAGCCGAUGAAGGACGUUACUAACGACGAUAUGCUUUGGGGAGCUGUAAGUAAGCUUUGAUCCAGAGAUUUCCGAAUGGGGAAACCCAGCAUGAGUUAUGUCAUGUUAUCGAUAUGUGAAUACAUAGCAUAUCAGAAGGCACACCCGGAGAACUGAAACAUCUUAGUACCCGGAGGAAGAGAAAGAAAAUUCGAUUCCCUUAGUAGCGGCGAGCGAAACGGGAAGAGCCCAAACCAACAAGCUUGCUUGUUGGGGUUGUAGGACACUCUAUACGGAGUUACAAAGGACGACAUUAGACGAAUCAUCUGGAAAGAUGAAUCAAAGAAGGUAAUAAUCCUGUAGUCGAAAAUGUUGUCUCUCUUGAGUGGAUCCUGAGUACGACGGAGCACGUGAAAUUCCGUCGGAAUCUGGGAGGACCAUCUCCUAAGGCUAAAUACUCUCUAGUGACCGAUAGUGAACCAGUACCGUGAGGGAAAGGUGAAAAGCACCCCGGAAGGGGAGUGAAAUAGAACCUGAAACCGUGUGCUUACAAGUAGUCAGAGCCCGUUAAUGGGUGAUGGCGUGCCUUUUGUAGAAUGAACCGGCGAGUUACGAUUUGAUGCAAGGUUAAGCAGUAAAUGUGGAGCCGUAGCGAAAGCGAGUCUGAAUAGGGCGUUUAGUAUUUGGUCGUAGACCCGAAACCAGGUGAUCUACCCUUGGUCAGGUUGAAGUUCAGGUAACACUGAAUGGAGGACCGAACCGACUUACGUUGAAAAGUGAGCGGAUGAACUGAGGGUAGCGGAGAAAUUCCAAUCGAACCUGGAGAUAGCUGGUUCUCUCCGAAAUAGCUUUAGGGCUAGCCUCAAGUGAUGAUUAUUGGAGGUAGAGCACUGUUUGGACGAGGGGCCCCUCUCGGGUUACCGAAUUCAGACAAACUCCGAAUGCCAAUUAAUUUAACUUGGGAGUCAGAACAUGGGUGAUAAGGUCCGUGUUCGAAAGGGAAACAGCCCAGACCACCAGCUAAGGUCCCAAAAUAUAUGUUAAGUGGAAAAGGAUGUGGCGUUGCCCAGACAACUAGGAUGUUGGCUUAGAAGCAGCCAUCAUUUAAAGAGUGCGUAAUAGCUCACUAGUCGAGUGACACUGCGCCGAAAAUGUACCGGGGCUAAACAUAUUACCGAAGCUGUGGAUUGUCCUUUGGACAAUGGUAGGAGAGCGUUCUAAGGGCGUUGAAGCAUGAUCGUAAGGACAUGUGGAGCGCUUAGAAGUGAGAAUGCCGGUGUGAGUAGCGAAAGACGGGUGAGAAUCCCGUCCACCGAUUGACUAAGGUUUCCAGAGGAAGGCUCGUCCGCUCUGGGUUAGUCGGGUCCUAAGCUGAGGCCGACAGGCGUAGGCGAUGGAUAACAGGUUGAUAUUCCUGUACCACCUAUAAUCGUUUUAAUCGAUGGGGGGACGCAGUAGGAUAGGCGAAGCGUGCGAUUGGAUUGCACGUCUAAGCAGUAAGGCUGAGUAUUAGGCAAAUCCGGUACUCGUUAAGGCUGAGCUGUGAUGGGGA